UUUCGCAAUGCCCGAAAGGGUGACGAAGCGACGCCGCGUGUGGGAAGAAGGCCUUCGGGUUGUAAACCACUGUCGGGAGUUAGGAAAUGCAGGUGCGUUAAUAGCGCACUUGCUUGACUAAGGCUCCAGAGGAAGCCACGGCUAACUCUGUGCCAGCAGCCGCGGUAAUACAGAGGCGGCAAGCGUUGUUCGGAAUUAUUGGGCGUAAAGAGCACGUAGGCGGCCUUGCAAGUCAGUUGUGAAAGCCUUCCGCUUAACGGAAGAACGGCAUCUGAUACUACAGGGCUUGAAUACGGGAGGGGAGAGUGGAACUUCUGGUGGAGCGGUGAAAUGCGUAGAUAUCAGAAGGAACGCCGGCGGCGAAAGCGACUCUCUGGUCCGAAACUGACGCUGAGUGUGCGAAAGCUAGGGGAGCAAACGGGAUUAGAUACCCCGGUAGUCCUAGCCGUUAACAAUGGGCACUAAGUAGAGGGGUUUU
rnacentral:rRNA from 1 species